CCAGUUCUUCCCACUUCUGGCAGGGGAAUAUUUGUUUCCUGGUCUCCUUGUGGUCAAGUGGGUUGAUAAAACUAACCUUAGCCAAUGAGUCAUGAGACAAAGCUCUGUGUGUCUCUUCUGAGGCGCAGCAUUUAACUGCUGGUGAGAGCGCUUUGCGCAGCAACCAACAACAUCCAAGAUGGCGGCUGCUCCCUCAGCCGGGUAUCUGAAAGACUUCAGCGAGACAGCCCUCUGCAGAUCUGCUCUGUCGCUCAACAUGGUGCUAUGUAGGGAUGAGAAGUCUGGAAUUCAGCCUCCAUCCUGACAGGGAACCACCACCCUGAAGACCGCAGGGCCGAGGAACUGAGAGAAACAGGAUCCUGAAGGAUGUGGCCAAAUCACUGAGUCAAACAACCCUGCAAACUCUCCUGCCAUUCAGCUUCCUGUUAUGAGAGGUGGUUGGAAAAAACUCAGAAGAAACUUUCAAGAUGUGUGAAAAUGACAUGACAGUCAGACAAGUGAAGUCUACCGAGGGCUUGUGCACUGUGUCCUGUCCUU